UACGAAGGUGGCAAGCGUUGUUCGGAUUCAUUGGGCGUAAAGGGUGCGUAGGUGGCGCCGUAAGUCGGGUGUGAAAUUUCGGAGCUUAACUCCGAAACUGCAUUCGAUACUGCGGUGCUUGAGGACUGGAGAGGAGACUGGAAUUCAUGGUGUAGCAGCGAAAUGCGUAGAGAUCAUGAGGAAGACCAGUGGCGAAGGCGGGUCUCUGGACAGUUCCUGACACUGAGGCACGAAGGCCAGGGGAGCAAACGGG
rnacentral:rRNA from 1 species